rnacentral:rRNA from 1 species
CUAACUAUAAACGAUGCCGACUAGGGAUCGGUGGGCGUUAAUAUAAAAUUGUUAGAAGUGAGUUUUUUUUUUAAAGAUGUAAUAUUAAUUAUUAUAUCUCUGAUUAAAAGACUUUUCUAACAAGAAAUGACCCCAUCGGCACCUCAAUUUGAUACUUCUCAAUGGGAAACCAAAGUUUUUGGGUUCCGGGGGGAGUAUGGUCGCAAGGCUGAAACUUAAAGGAAUUGACGGAAGGGCACCACCAGGAGUGGAGUUUGCGGCUUAAUUUGACUCAACACGGGAAAACUCACCAGGCCCAGACAUGGUAAGGAUUGACAGAUUGAGAGCUCUUUCUUGAUUCCAUGAAAGGUGGCGCAUGGCCGUUCUUAGUUGGUGGAGUGAUUUGUCUGGUUAAUUCCGUUAACGAACGAGACCUUGGCCUGCUAACUAGGGGGGGUUAUCGUUUGGAUAAGUUUUAACAGAGUUAGUAAAGUUUAAUUCUUUUUAUCUUUCGGGAUAGAGUUUUAAUUCUUUCUAGCUGUUUGUUGGCUUAUUCAUAUUUUGCGAUAGCACCUAAGAUUAAAUAAAUCUUUCAACCCUUUUCUGUCUUAAGGGAAAGAGAAAAAGGAUAUUUAAAAGAUUGAAAUUUAUUUCAGUUUUUUUUGUGUUUUUUUUCAUCAAAAUCUUUUCUUUUUGUUGGGAAAGGAAAAAUCCUUCUUAGAGGGACUAUCUGCGUUUUUACAACUAGCAGAUGGAAGCUCGAGGCAAUAACAGGUCUGUGAUGCCCUUAGAUGUCCUGGGCUGCACGCGUACUACACUGACGAAUUCAACAAGUGAUUUAAAUUUGAUGAGGCUACUUGCUUUUUUUCUCCUUCGGGAGGAGAGAGGGGAAAGGGCUUUAUCAAAAACCUUGGCAGAAAUGUCUGGGUAAUCUCUUCAAAGUUCGUCGUGCUAGGGAUAGAUGAUUGUAAUUAUU